AUGGGGUGCAGCAGGCGCGAAAACUUUACAAUGCGGGAAACCGUGAUAAGGGAACACUGAGUGCUAGCAUUUAUGUUAGCUGUCCACAUGUGUAAAUAGCAUGUGAUAGCAAGGGCUGGGCAAGACCGGUGCCAGCCGCCGCGGUAACACCGGCAGCCCGAGUGGUGAUCACUAUUAUUGGGUCUAAAGGGUCCGUAGCCGGUUUAAUCAGUCUUCUGGGAAAUCUAAUCGCUUAACUAUUAGGCUUCCAGGGGAUACUGUUAGACUUGGGACCGGGAGAGGUAAGAGGUACUGCAGGGGUAGGAGUGAAAUCUUGUAAUCCCUGUGAGACCACCAGUGGCGAAGGCGUCUUACCAGAACGGGUCCGACGGUGAGGGACGAAAGCUGGGGGCACGAACCGGAUUAGAUACCUGGGUAGUCCUGGCCGUAAACAAUGUCUGUUAGGUGUGGCUCCCACUACGAGUGGGUGCUGUGCCGCAGGGAAGCCGCUAAACAGACCGCCUGGGAAGUACGUCCGCAAGGAUGAAACUUAAAGGAAUUGGCGGGGGAGCAC
rnacentral:rRNA from 1 species